AUGAUCAAUGUACCUAAAACCCAAAGGGCUUUAUGUAAGAUAUGUGGCAAGCAUCAGCCUCAGAGUGUGACCUAGUGUAAGAAGGGCAAGGAUUAGGGAGUCCUUGCAUACCCAAGGAAGUGGCUAUAUCAUUGGAAGCAGAAUGGCUGUCGUGGUCAAACAAGGCCAGUUUUCUAAAAGAAAACCCAAACCACAAGAUGACGAUGCCCAGGCUGAGUGUGUCAAGCUUGACUGCAGAUCUGAGAGGUUGCAGCCCUUAACAAGUGUGAAUGUUUUAAGCUGGGAAGAAACAAGAGGAGAAAGGGCCAUGUGAUCCAGUUCUAA
rnacentral:lncRNA from 1 species